AUCGUUGUUUGUUUACAAUUUUGUUAGAGUUGUGCGUUUUUAUGAAAUAAUUGAUUUUUUUCCCGCCUUUUUAGAUUUACAUCCAGCUAAAUUUCAGUGCUAUAAUGUCUGGGUAUCUUCUUAUCUCCUAAGAAAGUAAAAUAGUCAUGAAUGCUGUGAGAUAUUUUGAAGCGGAAGGCAAGUUAAGUCUCACUUUCUCAGCCGAUCAAAAGAACUGCGGCAGCGACUAGUAUUUCGAAACGAACUAUUAAUCGCAUUUAGCGGGAAGUGAAAAAGUUCCAAUAAUGUCGCCUCCGAAACGGAAACGCAUCCGAAAAAUAAUUUGUUCUGCCAAUUUGGACGAUUUCGACUUUUGCAAAUUAAGACAAACUGUCAGCGAAUUUAAUGCCAGAAAUGAAGUACCUUCUCUACGCACUCAACUAUGCCUUUACGGAAAAGGUCAAUUUUUCUGGAAAGUGGAAAUACUAAGAUAUGUUCUUCGAAAAAUUGGAUUUAGAUGGAAACAAACAUCUGUAGACAAGAAGAUAGUCAGGGAAAACACUGACAUCUUACAGUAGAGAUACAAGUAUUUAAGAGAUAUCAAAGAGCACAUGCAUAACAAGCGAGUUAUUAUCUAUUUAAAUGAAGUGUGGAUCGAUUACAAUUUGUCAUUUGCAAAGUGUUGGCAAGAUUAAAGUUAUCAUCAUACAAAAUGCUGGAAAGUGAUGAAUCGUUGUUCAUGCAGGAAACCAGAAUGGUUUUAUAGAAGGAGCAAGUUUAGUCUUUCAGUCUGAAACAUCAUGGGCAGAUGAACUAUGAUAACUUUUCCAAAUGGCUACAAGAAAAACUUUUUCCAAAUAUUCUUUCACAUUGUGUGAUUUGCAUGGAUGACGCUUCUUGCAACACAAAAGUGUUAACUCCUGGACCUUCAAAGUAUUCCAUAAAGAAGGAGCUAGCAGAAUGAUUAGAAGAAUAUAGCAUUCCUUUUGAUAUCAACAUGUGGAAGCCUGAGUUGUAUGAUUUAAUUCUAUUCAACACCCUUCCACGCUAGAUGUUUUAAGAAUUCCACCAUAUUAUUAUGAUUUAAUUGUGACAAAAAUAGCAUAAACAUCCACAGAAUAUAUACAGAAUAGAAAUGUAAAAGCCGAGCUCAACAUAACAACUAUAAAAGACCUGGCUGUACCCAUGACUAGAACAACCCCAGGAAAAGACGAAUAAAAUGGCACUAAACAGAAAUUAGUAGGAUGUAUUACAAUAAAAUUUAACAUGUGGAGUGCAUUUAAUGAUGUUUCAAAUUUUCCACUAUUGAAGUGCAUCGUUGAAACUAGUGGAACAUUCAUUAAUAGUUGAACACAGAUGGAAUAUCUGUAAUAAUGCCACAGUCACAAGAGAAAGCUUGUUUGAGAGAAUUUCACUGCAUUUGGAAAUCCUUACAUUUUGCUCAACUUUAAAGGCACUGGUUUCAAGAAUAGUUUUCACUUGAGGCUUACAAAUAAGCUUGUUUCAAUCGAUGGAAACGUUGAUGUCUCUUCUUUUAAUUCUCACUGUAUAAUUAUUGUCAUUCCUGGAAAUCAUAAAGGCGGAAAACCAACAUUUCAACUUUUUCACCUAACCCUCUCCACCUCUAACAUGGAACAUAUUUGGGUACAAAGUUAGAGGCUUGUUUUCAAGAGCCAACUUAACCAAUAAAAUGGCUAUUAUGUAUCUUUUUCCACUUUCUGUCGCAUUCUAUACUAAUUCGAUUUGGCAGUUGGUUUUGCCUUGAGAAUUUCACCAACAGAAGAAGGGCAUUGAUAUGAGAGAGCUGUCAAUCUCUAAUAUUUCCUUUCUUUAGUAUUUGAAAGAAGGGGAAAGAGGAUAGAGAAAGCAGGAUUACCAUGCAAAGAAAGAAUUUUUCAUUGACACAGCAUCUGGAAAUAAUAUUAUUAUGCCAUAGAUGCAGAACUUGAAUUGUUUUUAAAGUGUGGGGAAAGUUCAGUGGCAAAUCGAGGUUUCCAAAGGCCUUGGUGCAAAAAGGAGGGGGGGGGCAAUUUAAACGGGUUAUGUUUUAUCAAAUAAAAAAAAUUAAAAUUCAGGAAUAUUUUAAAGACGCAAAGUUACUUUAUCAUCAGCUAUCGUGCUAUGAAGGACACAGAAAAGCAAAGUUACAUACCAUCUACAUGUAUGUGUAUGAGUUUUCUUGUGUGCGCUUUAGUGAUCACCCAGGUUUGCCUUGACACCAUGACAGACAUCUUCCAGAGCAGCUGUGAAAAGUUUAGGAACUGCCGGGGACCGGAAGACAAGAAAUAACGAAAUAGAUAAUAAAGAAUUAAAUAAUAACGAACAAGAUUACAAUGAAUAGCAUAGGUAUUAGGAAACAAAACGAAGUAGAUAAGGAAUAAAAGGUUUAUUAUAUGAAGGUAGAACCUACCUACUAACAACAAAUUAACAAUUUAGCUUAUGGUAUUUCCCUAGCCUUAGUUUUCUCAAAGAUAUCACUAGCUUCUUUUAAAUCCAGGCUUGAUGCGACUUUGUUUUCAAUUGCUAUUAACGCUAAAUGUCAAAGUUGAGUUUGGGCCACACUGUUUCUUAAAUAAUUUUUAUUUAUUUUUAAUUUGCUAAAUGAUCUUUCAGCUGCUGCUGAAAUUACAGGAAUUGUAUAGAAUAAUUACAUUGCUGUGAAUACUUCUUUUAGGUCACAUUCUAGCACUCCAUAUUUGCUCAAUAUUUGCUUCCUUACUUAAUUGGUGAACAGUCCAUGCCUGAGUUAUUUUAGGGAAAACUAGGUGAUAAAUAUUAAGAAAUUGAAGGGAAAAGUUUGGGCCUAUUAUAUCAGAAUACUUAGUUUGGAAUUCGUUACACUUUGAUAAUAAAGUUGUUUCAUCUACAUUUAGUAAAAAUGUUGGUCUUAGAAAAUUGAAUAUUUGACUGAUUAAAAUCAGAACAGUAAAACUAGUAUUUAAUUGAACUAAUAUUGUGUUGGGCACCUUAUUGAAAGUAGUAAUUUUAAAUAUUUUGAAUGAAUGAAUGUAUGAAUUUAUGUAGGUUGGCAUAAGUUCUGACACAUUUUUUUAGAAAGAGAGAAACUUAGAUGCUUCAGUUCUAUAUCUCACACAAAAUGAUAUGCCUUGAUUUGUCACUUAAUUAUUAAUUAACCAAAUUAAUUAAUUAAUCAAAUUUAUCUAAUAAGCUAAAUGAAUCCCUUUUCUUAUUCUAAUUUUAAGCCUAAAAAUAUUUUAACAUAAUAUGACUGGAAAAAAAUGGCCCUUAAAGGGUUAAAUAAGGAUUGCAACAACGAGCAGGAAUUCCGAUGUGUUUCUAAUCCGAGGAGAAUAAGUGCACAGUCUCAACAAAAAUUUACUAUAGUUCGGACACGAACAAUAUAGAAUGUGGAAAAGAUACAAUGAUGUUGCUUCUUAAGAAGGCUGGAUAAAAUAUUGUGUAAAUAUAUCUAUAAACUUACUAUUUGAUGUUAGAUGUAAAAAUUUUCUUAUGAAAAAUGGGCUGCUUAAGCUUUAGUUUCCCCCAUGUAUUUAUUUUUCAAUAUAUAUAUAGGCAUAGGAAACAAAUGCAUUUUAUUAAGAAACAAUUAGAUCUUGAAUAUGAAUUCUACCUCCAUUUUUAAGCAUGCGUUUUUAUGGUUAAGUACUUCUUUAAUUAAAAGUUGUUGCUAGCUAAUAUUCCUCCCAAAAAGUGAGUUUUAUCGCAGUUGCUUGCAUUGGAUUUUCUUAAACUUUUCGUAUACAAUGCCGAGUCUGACUGGAGUAUGGAAUUAUUAAAUUUUUAAUUUUAGAUCUACAAUUAAGUAAAAGUAUUAGGUAAUUUAAAAUGCAAAAAUCACUUAAAAACAUAUCAUUACCUCAAAUUCUCUUAAAGUAUUUUAGGGAUUAAAAUAAUUGCCCCAAAUAAGAUCUGCUAUCUAAUUAGGAAGUUAAGUAAAUUUGUAUGUCAAGGGAUUAAUGUGUUAAAUAUGAAUAUUCUAUGAAUAACUAAUUUAAUCAUCCUUUUAUCAAAACAUUUUUAUUAAAAGUCUAUUAAAAAUUUAGAAGCAUCUGAAAUUAUAUAGUUUUUACCGCCAAAUAUAAUUGAAAGAAAAAAAAAAAAAAAAAAACACGAUACCUUUCCCGAUUAUUUUAGUUAUAAUAUUGAAUGCAGUAUCUGAAGAAUUUAGAUAGUAAUUUAUUUAAGAAAUUUAGUGUAUACUUGGAUAAACUCAUUUAGUGUAACUAAAAAGCUACCAUACCACACAUAUUUAAUUAUUUAUUUAUUUAUUUGGUCAUCAGUUGCAGUCAGUAAUAUUUCUUUAGUAUAAUAAUGGGGUCAAUUCACGGUCACGUUUCAGGUACCAAACAAACUGCUACUGUUCAAUUUUCAUCUGUUCUGCGCAUGUUGUGAUGUCUCCCGAUAACGUUGACGAAACCAUUCUUUAGUAAAUAUUACGCUAGACGAUCAAUUAUUAAAAACUUCUGAUUUUUUUUAAAGAUAUUAUUUUGAAUUAUUUUCUCCAAAUUUUCUUAGUUAUAUAAUUUUUUUAUAUUAAAUAUUUAAUUAGUAUCUUCAAUGGAAUUAUUGUUUUUGCAUAAUUAAUUAACAUCGCUUUUUAAUUCGUUUGGUGCCACUUUAUUCUUUCUUUUCCCAUAUUCUCCCCCCCCCUUUUUUUUUAUCCGAAGGAUACAUUUUGACAAAUGACUAUGGCAGUGUUUUUGAAAAAUUACAUAUGUUCUUUUUUACAUAUUAUUUAAAUAUUAUUGAAUGUUGAAUCUUAUGA